UACCUGGUUGAUCCUGCCAGUAGUCAUAUGCUUGUCUCAAAGAUUAAGCCAUGCAAGUCUAAGUACGAGCUCUCGUACAGUGAAACUGCGAAUGGCUCAUUAAAUCAGUUAUGGUUCAUUUGAUCGUACAGUUUACUUGGAUAACUGUGGUAAUUCUAGAGCUAAUACAUGCGAGAAGCGCCGACCUCGCGGGAGGCGUGCAUUUAUCAGACCAAAAACCGGCCGCGUCUUCGGGCGCGUUCGCCUUGGUGACUCUGGAUAACUUUGCGGAUCGCACGGUCUAGCACCGGCGACGGAUCAUUCAAGUGUCUGCCCUAUCAACUUUCGUCGGUACGGUAUUUGCCUACCGAGGUUCUUACGGGUGACGGGGAAUCAGGGUUCGAUUCCGGAGAGGGAGCCUGAGAAACGGCUACCACAUCCAAGGAAGGCAGCAGGCGCGCAAAUUACCCAUUCCCGACGCGGGGAGGUAGUGACGAAAAAUAACAAUGCAGGACUCGUUCGA
rnacentral:ncRNA from 1 species